rnacentral:rRNA from 1 species
UACGUAGGGGGCAAGCGUUGUCCGGAUUUAUUGGGCGUAAAGAGCGCGCAGGCGGUUGGAUAAGUCGAAUGUGAAAGCCCCCGGCUCAACUGGGGAGGGUCAUUCGAUACUGUCCGACUCGAAGGCAGGAGAGGGAAGCGGAAUUCCCGGUGUAGUGGUGAAAUGCGUAGAUAUCGGGAGGAACACCAGUGGCGAAGGCGGCUUUCUGGCCUGUUCUUGACGCUGAGGCGCGAAAGCCAGGGGAGCAAACGGG